CUUGAGCGCUUUGAAUAUUUAGUUUGGUAGUAGGGUCUUGAUUGCAUGUUGCCUUAAUGUGUUUUCUGCUCGGCCCACUUGCUGACCUUCAUUGGGAGUCGGCAAAUAAUAUUGGGCAAAAAAAUCUGCUUUCUUGAAUGUACCAUUGAUUUCCAACUUAACCUUCACAUGUAUCAAUCAACUGAGUUGUUCUUAAUUUGUUAGAAUCUCACACUAAUAAAUUAAUAUAACCAAUAUUUGUUUACACACAUAAAUGUUAUGUCCAGGUUCCAGUGGAUCUUGUCAUUGACAAUUCUGUUCAGGUUGAUGUGGCAGGAAGUGAAUGCAAUGCAGGCAAAUAUGGGGCUUGAAUUUCAGAGAAACAAGGAGAGGUUUGUUUUUCUGAAGUGGGGUUCCAAUGUUUUUCACAAUAUGCUCAUUGUUCCUCCUGGUUCUGGUAUUGUCCACCAGGUUUGGCAUUUAGCAAGUGACUCUGGUAAUUUUCAAGUUAAUCUUGAAUACCUUGGAUGGGUUAUUUUCUACAAAAAUGGCAUUCUGUACCCUGAUAGCGUGGUUGGAAUUGAUUCCCAUACAAAUAUGAUUGCUGGCUUAGGAGUUGUUGGCUGGGGAGUUGGAGGAAUUGAAUCUGAGGCUACAAUGCUUCGCUAGGUAUUUUGAGAUAAUAAUGUAUUUUCUUUAUGAUUUUCUAUACGCUUGUGCCAAUUGUUAGUGUUUGCAGUUAUUCUUUGGUAGAUAGACAUGCAUGAAAUGGGUAGCUGUUUUUUCUUCUUUUUCCUCCAAAGGUGCAAAAGAAAAUGCAGCUUCUGCUUCUUUAAAACCUGCUGCUGGUGCUGGUGAUAGUAACUGCAAUGUAUCUCCCCCCCCCAAAAAAAAAGAGUCAGAAUUUUUUUGGAGAGAUGCAAAAUAUGGUCCAAGAAUUAAAGAACUUAGUUUUUUU